CUUUAAGUAUUUUUUUAAGUAAAUUUUUAAGUAUUUUAAUAGGUGCUCCGUGUUGUUUACCAAAUCGUGAUCAGUUUACCAGUAUUAUAAUGUCUAAGCAUACAACUAGAAUAACUCUUCUAGAUUUAUCAAGAUCUGGCUAACUAUUAUUACUUGAAUUGAGUAUUAUUUCAUCUGCCUAACCAGGAAUGAAAUAGUAUUAUAUUAUUUGCCUAAUUUAUUUAUGGAUUAAAAGUAUGACCUAUGAGAAAUUACCACACUCAAGCAAGAGAAUUAAUAGAGUAAAACACCUAGUUAUACUUCCGUCUAGUAAGGAAAAUAGAGUCAAAACACUUUUCACCUCUUUGAAGGGAAGAAAAUAAAGAAAAAGAAAAUAGAGAGGGGAGAAGGAAGAAAACAGAAACACAUUCUCCUUAUAAUGUAUAUCGAUCUUGAACUUUGAAAUCUACCAAAUUCACCAUUAAAAUCAUCAUCAUUCCCCAUUAGAUUAGCAAAAGUACAAGAAGAAGAAAAAGAGUCAAAGAGAAGACCAAAUGAAUAGAAAAUGAUGAGGCGAAAAUCUACAAGGGAGAGAGGCAUCAAAGAAGUAGAUAUGGAGUUCAUCAUCAACACCAUCUCCAUAUUAAAAUAAAUGUGGGAUGCCCUUUUCUCUCCCCAUAUGCAUCACUGUAAGGUGAAAUUAGAAUGACCAUUUUCUAUACUGCAACAACAACCAAGUCUUAUCUCACUAUGUGGAGUCGGCUACAUGAAUCAAAUUACAACGUAGUGUUAUGUCAUAAACUAUAUUUGAAUUCAACUCAGUGAUCUCUAAAAAAUUUCUAAUAGUUUCUCUUAUAGUUAGUCUAGGUAUUCCUUUACCUCUUGUAAUAUGGCUAUGUUUAAUCUGAU
rnacentral:lncRNA from 1 species